GGGACUACCGGCUCACUGUGAAGGGCACCUGCCCCUCAGGAGCAGCCGGGAGAGAGGCAGAGCCAGGGACCUUGAGGAGUGGACACGCACUCGGCACAGAUGGCCGCUUCUGAGGGCCCAGCGGGAACGCAGACACGUUUGUUGCCGACCUUGAACAGGGUCCACCGUGAGUCUGAGAGAGACCAGAGAUAAAACACUGAUCGCAGUGACCACACCCAACCAGAUCGGAUCACCUGCGACCGGGCUCGGGGAGGUCACGGCGCCCUCUGGCGGCAGCGCGGGGAGCCACCGCAGGUGUUUCCCGGCUUCUCUCGGGGUUGCCCGACCUCCGGUGCCAGGGGCCCUCUCCUUUCGCCCCCGCUGCGCAGCACCGCCGCCGCGCGGCCUCCCAGCUCCCAGGCCCGGCUCUGCCUGGUCUUCGCUCCCCCCACCCUCGGAAGCCCACCGAGAAGGGCCGAGUGUGUGGUGUUUGUCGUCCCGAAUGAGAACGGCCUUUCCGGUGCCCCCAGCCCGCCGGCUCCGGCGGAGAGGGCGGAGGAACACGCCGCGCGCGGGUCUGCCGGGCUGGUCCUCUGGGCGGUGCCGGGCGUCCGGGGAUUUCCGAGCGCCUCCGCGGGAGUUCUUUCUUCUGUUCGCCUGUCGCCGUGCAGUUUGCUUAGGGGCUCGGAGCCACCAGCUUCCACUUAAACACUCUGUCACCACCGUCACCAUCUCCACCAUCACCACCACCAUCACUACCAC